rnacentral:rRNA from 1 species
GAGAGUUUGAAUCAUGGCUCAGAUUGAACGCUGGCGGCAGGCCUAACACAUGCAAGUCGAGCGGAAACGAGUUAUCUGAACCUUCGGGGGACGAUAACGGCGUCGAGCGGCGGACGGGUGAGUAAUGCCUAGGAAAUUGCCCUGAUGUGGGGGAUUACCAUUGGAAACGAUGGCUAAUUCCGCAUGAUGCCUACGGGCCAAAGAGGGGGACCUUCGGGCCUCUCGCGUCAGGAUAUGCCUAGGUGGGAUUAGCUAGUUGGUGAGGUAAGGGCUCACCAAGGCGACGAUCCCUAGCUGGUCUGAGAGGAUGAUCAGCCACACUGGAACUGAGACACGGUCCAGACUCCUACGGGAGGCAGCAGUGGGGAAUAUUGCACAAUGGGCGCAAGCCUGAUGCAGCCAUGCCGCGUGUGUGAAGAAGGCCUUCGGGUUGUAAAGCACUUUCAGUCGUGAGGAAGGCAGUGUAGUUAAUAGCUGCAUUAUUUGACGUUAGCGACAGAAGAAGCACCGGCUAACUCCCUGCCAGCAGCCGCGGUAAUACGGAGGGUGCGAGCGUUAAUCGGAAUUACUGGGCGUAAAGCGCAUGCAGGUGGUUUGUUAAGUCAGAUGUGAAAGCCCGGGGCUCAACCUCGGAAUUGCAUUUGAAACUGGCAGACUAGAGUACUGUAGAGGGGGGUAGAAUUUCAGGUGUAGCGGUGAAAUGCGUAGAGAUCUGAAGGAAUACCGGUGGCGAAGGCGGCCCCCUGGACAGAUACUGACACUCAGAUGCGAAAGCGUGGGGAGCAAACAGGAUUAGAUACCCUGGUAGUCCACGCCGUAAACGAUGUCUACUUGGAGGUUGUGGCCUUGAGCCGUGGCUUUCGGAGCUAACGCGUUAAGUAGACCGCCUGGGGAGUACGGUCGCAAGAUUAAAACUCAAAUGAAUUGACGGGGGCCCGCACAAGCGGUGGAGCAUGUGGUUUAAUUCGAUGCAACGCGAAGAACCUUACCUACUCUUGACAUCCAGAGAACUUUCCAGAGAUGGAUUGGUGCCUUCGGGAACUCUGAGACAGGUGCUGCAUGGCUGUCGUCAGCUCGUGUUGUGAAAUGUUGGGUUAAGUCCCGCAACGAGCGCAACCCUUAUCCUUGUUUGUCAGCGAGUAAUGUCGGGAACUCCAGGGAGACUGCCGGUGAUAAACCGGAGGAAGGUGGGGACGACGUCAAGUCAUCAUGGCCCUUACGAGUAGGGCUACACACGUGCUACAAUGGCGCAUACAGAGGGCGGCCAACUUGCGAAAGUGAGCGAAUCCCAAAAAGUGCGUCGUAGUCCGGAUUGGAGUCUGCAACUCGACUCCAUGAAGUCGGAAUCGCUAGUAAUCGUGGAUCAGAAUGCCACGGUGAAUACGUUCCCGGGCCUUGUACACACCGCCCGUCACACCAUGGGAGUGGGCUGCAAAAGAAGUAGGUAG